rnacentral:misc_RNA from 1 species
UAGCCAGCUGGAGAGGCAAUUCAGCUGCCUCUGUUCUCCCUGGAGGAUUUCCAGGCCGCGGAGGAGGUCCUCCAAGAUGGCGCCUCAAGAAAAGCUUUGAGAGCUCGGUUUGUUCUAAUGGGUGGAACAAGUGUGAAGGAUGCGGUUCGCUGCAUCAUGGAGCGAACCCUGAAAAAAGAAGUUCAGGCGCAUUUUACUUUCGUGGGGCGGCAGGGGAAGCAGCCAUUUAAAGGAACGAAGCUGUUUUCCGUCAUCAAGGCUGCUGUCCAAAAAAAAACGAAGGCGGCUGACACGGAGGUAGAGGCGGCCAUCCGGGUCUACCUCUACGGUGUGAAGGACCGGGAGGGCGGGCGGCGUUCCCGCUUUUUGGACGCUGUAGAUGCUGCAGCUUUGAGGAGGAUUGCAGCAUUGAGCGAGGCUCCAGCUUCGAACAACGCUGUAGCCUCGGGCGAAGCUGCAGCCUCGUUCGAUGUUGUGGACCUCUUCGAGGUUGCCGCAUCCGGUGGCUGGAGCGACGAAGAUUUCCAAGAAUAAAACCCGU